AACGAACGUUGGCGGCGUGGAUUAGGCAUGCAAGUCGAACGCGAAAGGGUAGCAAUACCCGAGUAAAGUGGCGAACGGGUGAGUAACGCGUAGGAAACCUGCCUUCGAGUGGGGGAGUAACAUCCUAACGGGUGGCUAAUACCGCAUGAAACUAGCGGGAGUCGCAUGGUUCGUGCAGUCAAAGGUAGGCCUCUAUUUAUAAGCUACCGCUCAAAG
rnacentral:rRNA from 1 species